UUAAUAACUGUUGGACUUAUUCGUAAAAAGGUUUCGCGCAGAUUAGACGUUUUCCACAGUUUUAUCCGCUAAAGAAGGUAUACAGCAAGAGUUUGAAGAUUCAAAAGUAGCAGUCAAGAGAGAAUACGGUAGUAGUCAAAAGAGAAAGAAGUAGCAGUCAAGAGGGAAAGAGAGGUAGAGUGAAGAAUUUUAUUGGCAACUUUUGAAAUAAGACAAAACAGCACUCGGCGCCAUUGUUAGAAGAAAAGUUUAAAUAAAGUGAUGCUAGUCCGAAUAAAUU